UACGAAGGGGGCUAGCGUUGCUCGGAAUCACUGGGCGUAAAGCGCACGUAGGCGGAUUGUUAAGUCAGGGGUGAAAUCCUGGAGCUCAACUCCAGAACUGCCUUUGAUACUGGAGAUCUUGAGUCCGGGAGAGGUGAGUGGAACUGCGAGUGUAGAGGUGAAAUUCGUAGAUAUUCGGAAGAACACCAGUGGCGAAGGCGACACACUGGCCCGUUACUGACGCUGAGGCGCGAAAGCGUGGGGAGCAAACAGG
rnacentral:rRNA from 1 species